rnacentral:lncRNA from 1 species
AUCAAGAGGUAACAGCCGCAACACCAGGUCAGGAUCAAGCUCAGCAUUCAAUGUCACCCAGCAUUACAGUUCAACCUAUGCACCUGGGAGUUACCAUAAGCCCAGAAUCCAGUACAGAGGUUGAACAUCCUACACCCUUGAAGAAGACUAUAGUUCCUCCAAACCACCCUAAGGUGACACUUCCACAUCCAGGCCAUGUUCAGACUCAGCAUUCAAACCUGACUCAAGCCACAGUUCAACCUUUGGAUCAGGGGCUUACCAUCACUCCAGAAUCCACUACAGAGGUUGAACCUUCUACAGCUCUGACGACUACAUUUUCUUCUCCAAAACAUCCUGAGAUCCUGAUGUGCAGCAGCAAAUUGCUCUGGCUCCGGGGGCAGGUCUCCAGCUGAAUGUGUGCCUACGAAUGGAAUCAAAGUCUCAUCAAAAUCUCAGUCAGUUCCUGAGGCAGAAGAGAUGGGUGUGUCUUAUCCAAGAUUUCUCUGGCUCCAGGGGCAGGUCUCCAGCUGAAUCUGUGCCUACAAAUGGAAUCAAAGUCUCAUCAAAGUCUCAGUCAGUUCCUGAGGCAGAAGAGAUGGGUGUGUCUUAUCCAAGAUUUCUCUGGCUCCAGGGGCAGGUCUCCAGCUGAAUCUGUGCCUACGAAUGCAAUCAAAGUCUCAUCAAAGUCUCAGUUCCUGAGGCAGAAGAGAUGGGUGUGUCUUAUCCAAGAUUUCUCUGGCUCCAGGGGCAGGUCUCCAAUGCAAACAAAGUCUCAUCAAAGUCUCAGUUCCUGAGGCAGAAGAGAUGGGUGUGUCUUAUCCAAGAUUUCUCUGGCUCCAGGGGCAGGUCUCCAGCUGAAUCUGUGCCUACAAAUGGAAUCAAAGUCUCAUCAAAGUCUCAGUCAGUUCCUGAGGCAGAAGAGGACAUGAGACUUAACAACCUGCUAAAAAUGAGCUUUUGGGACCUACCCAUCAAGGAAUAAACUGUCCUCGCCAUGAGAGAUCAAAUGAAACCUGAGACCAGAGACUCAUUUUCUUGUAAAAUGCUUUCUCCAACAGAUUUUUAAAAAGAAAAGGGGGGAAAUGUGAAAGGAAAAUAUCUGUGGUCCCCAAAAUCACGAAGGAAAACUCAAGCCGGGAACUGCUUAGGGCAAACCUGCCUCCCAUUCUAUUCAAAGUCACUCCUUUGCCCAAUCAGAUAGAUGCUUAUCUGAUUUGCCUCCUUUGGAAAGGCUGAUCAGAAACUCAAAAGAAUGGAACCAUUUGUGUAACAGCCAUCUGUGACCUGGAAGCUUCCUUCCCACUUCAGUCUUCCUGCCUUUGCUUCAAGUUGUCCUGUCUUUCCAGAUGAAGCAAUGUACUUCUUAACAUAUAUUGACUGAUGUCUCAUGAUGUCUCCCUAAAUGUAUGAAACCAAGCUGUGCCUGACAACCUUGGACAUAUUUUGUCAAGACUUCCCUGAGGCUGUCAUUGGUGCAUCCUCAACCUUGGCAAAAUAAACUUUCUAAAUUAACUGA